rnacentral:rRNA from 1 species
CCUACGGGUGGCAGCAGUGAGGAAUAUUGGUCAAUGGACGAGAGUCUGAACCAGCCAAGUAGCGUGAAGGAUGACUGCCCUAUGGGUUGUAAACUUCUUUUAUAUGGGAAUAAAAUGUUCCACGUGUGGGAUUUUGUAUGUACCAUAUGAAUAAGGAUCGGCUAACUCCGUGCCAGCAGCCGCGGUAAUACGGAGGAUCCGAGCGUUAUCCGGCUUUAUUGGGUUUAAAGGGAGCGUAGGUGGAUUGUUAAGUCAGUUGUGAAAGUUUGCGGCUCAACCGUAAAAUUGCAGUUGAAACUGGCAGUCUUGAGUACAGUAGAGGUGGGCGGAAUUCGUGGUGUAGCGGUGAAAUGCUUAGAUAUCACGAAGAACUCCGAUUGCGAAGGCAGUUCACUGGACUGCAACUGACACUGAGGCUCGAAAGUGUGGGUAUCAAACAGGAUUAGAUACCCCAGUAGUG